rnacentral:snRNA from 1 species
AGACUUACCUGGCAAGGGAGAUACCAUGGUCGUGAAGGUGGUUUUCCCAGGGCGAGGCUCAUCCAUUGCACUCCGGGUGUGCUGACCCCUGCGAUUUCCCCAAAUAUGGGAAACUUGACUGCAUAGUUUGUGGUAGUGGGGGACUGCAUUCGCGCUAUCCCCUG